rnacentral:rRNA from 1 species
UUAGUUAACUACUUUAACUAUUUGCACCUCAUAUCAAGCAAGACUACCCGCUGAACUUAAGCAUAUCAAUAAGCGGAGGA